rnacentral:rRNA from 1 species
CCAAUAGCGUAUAUUAAAGUUGUUGCAGUUAAAAAGCUCGUAGUUGAAUUUCGGGGUUAGUACGCUGGUCGUGCCUUCGGUAUGUACUGUGUUACUGAUUCCUACCUUCUGAAGAACCGUCAUGUCAUUAAUUUGGUGUGGCGGGGAAUCAGGACUGUUACUUUGAAAAAAUUAGAGUGUUUAAAGCAGGCUCGCGCUUGAAUACAUUAGCAUGGAAUAAUGAAAUAGGACGUUUGAUCCUAUUUUGUUGGUUUCUAGGAUUGACGUAAUGAUUAAUAGGGUUAGUUGGGGGCAUUAGUAUUCAAUUGUCAGAGGUGAAAUUCUUGGAUUUAUUGAAGACUAACUGCUGCGAAAGCAUUUGCCAAGGAUGUUUUCAUUAAUCAAGAACGAAAGUUAGGGGAUCGAGGACGAUCAGAUACCGUCGUAGCCUUAACCAUAAACUAUGCCGACUAGGGAUCGGAUGAUGUUAAUUUUUUAAUGACUCAUUCGGCGCCUUACG